UUUCAUCCACUGGUAGACCUUGGACAGUUUGUGGUUGUUCUUCUGGUUUGAACUGGAAUGCCAAAGAAAAUGCGCUUUCUGCUUGUCUUUGUGGUAGUCCAGAUUGAGUUGGGGAAUACAUGU